GCCUGGGUGGCUCAGCUGGUUGAGCAUCUGACUUGGGCUCGGGUCGUGAUCUCACAGGUCGUGAGUUCAAGCCCCGCAUCGGGCU
rnacentral:tRNA from 1 species